GGGACAACAGUUGGAAACGACUGCUAAUACCGCAUAAUCCCUGAGGGGGAAAGAUUUAUCGCUUUAAGAUUGGCCCGCGGAAGAUUAGGUAGUUGGUGGGGUAAAGGCCUACCAAGCCGACGAUCUAUAGCUGGUCUGAGAGGACGAACAGCCACAUUGGAACUGAGACACGGUCCAGACUCCUACGGGAGGCAGCAGUGAGGAAUAUUGGGCAAUGGAGGAAACUCUGACCCAGCCAUGCCGCGUGAGUGAAGAAGGUUUUCGAAUUGUAAAGCUCUUUCGGAUGGGACGAUGAUGACGGUACCAUCUAAAGAAGCCCCGGCAAACUUCGUGCCAGCAGCCGCGGUAAUACGAAGGGGGCAAGCGUUGUUCGGAAUUACUGGGCGUAAAGGGUGUGUAGGCGGAUUUGUAAGAUAGUGGUGAAAUACCUGAGCUCAACUUAGGAAUUGCCAUUAUAACUAUAGAUCUGGAGUGACAGAGAGGAUAUUGGAAUACCCAGUGUAGAGGUGAAAUUCGUAGAUAUUGGGUAGAACACCAGUGGCGAAGGCGAGUAUCUGGCUGUCAACUGACGCUGAGGCACGAAAGCAUGGGGAUCAAACAGGAUUAGAUACCCUGGUAGUCCAUGCUGUAAAAGAGGAAUGCUAGUUGUCGGCAAAAGCCGGUGACGCAG
rnacentral:rRNA from 1 species